AUUGAACGCUGGCGGCAGGCCUAACACAUGCAAGUCGAGCGGAGCGGCGGACGGGUGAGUAAUGCCUAGGAAUCUGCCUGGUCUUUGGGGCUAACGUCCGGAAACGGGCGCUAAUCCCGCAUCCUAUCAGCUGAGCCUAUGUCGGAUUAGCUAGUUGGUGGGGUAAAGGCCUACCAAGGCGACGAUCCGUAACUGGUCUGAGAGGAUGAUCAGACAAACUGGAACGGAGACACGGUCCAGACUCCUACGGGAGGCAGCAGUGGGGAAUAUUGGACAAUGGGCGAAAGCCUGAUCCAGCCAUGCCGCGUGUGUGAAGAAGGUCUUCGGAUCGUAAAGCACUGUAAGUUGGGAGGCGUUACCAACAGAAUAAGCAACGGCUAACUUCGUGCCAGCAGCCGCGGUAAUUC
rnacentral:rRNA from 1 species